rnacentral:rRNA from 1 species
UUAUACCUACGGGGCGCAGCAGUGGGGGAUAUUGCACAAUGGGGGAAACCCUGAUGCAGCGACGCCGCGUGAGUGAAGAAGUAUUUCGGUAUGUAAAGCUCUAUCGGCAGGGAAGAAAAAAAUGACAGUACCUGACUAAGAAGCCCCGGCUAACUACGUGCCAGCAGCCGCGGUAAUACGUAGGGGGCAAGCGUUAUCCGGAUUUAUUGGGUUUAAAGGGUGCGUAGGCGGGACGGUAAGUCAGCGGUAAAAAUGCGGAGCUCAACUCCGUCGAGCCGUUGAAACUGCCGGGCUUGAGUGAGGGG